CAGGGGUUUCUGCUUUUGCUUCUUCCUCAUUUUCUCUUGCCUCUGCUAUGUAAGAAAACCUUUCACCUCCCACCAUGAUUUUGAGACCUCCCCAGCCAAGUGGAACUGAAGGGUCCUGUCCUGUACCCGGGAGGAAGAAAUGCUACACAGAGAAGCCAAGAUGAAUCUGAACAGACAGCCUUUGUCAGUUCCACAGAUUCCAUAAAAGUUAACUCCAGAGCAGAGAAUGAUGCCACAGUCGGGAUAACAUCCAAUAUUUGCAAUCAGAAGAAAUAUGAGACAGAGUCUUGCUCCAUCACCCAGGCUGCAGUGCAGUGGCACGAUCUUGGCUCACUGCAAGCUCCACCUCCCGGGUUCACGCCAUUCUCCUGCCUCAGCCUCCCAAGUAGCUGGGACUACAGGCGCCCACCACCACGCCCAGCUAAAUUUUUUUGUAUUUUUAGUAGAGAUGGGGUUUCACUGUGUUAGCCAGGAUGGUCUCGAUUUCCUGACCUCGUGAUCUGCCUGCCUCGGCCUCCCAAAGUGCUGGGAUUACAGGCGUGAGCCACUGUGCCCGGCCGUAAUUAUUCUUUUCGUGUUAAGCAAUGGUAAAAGAACUGACUGAAAAUAAGAAUAUUAAAAAGUUUCUCUGCUAAAAACAGAAAAUUAUGUUUGUUACCAUUCCUACUAUAACCCCAGUGAUAUGGCUCCGAUGAGUGGAGGAACACCAGGGUUCUUGGUCUUCAUGCCAGUUUAGAUAAAACAACACAGACAUACGUGGAGUGGUUUUAAGGAGCAGACAGUUUAAUAGGCAAGAAGAAAAGAGAAGGCAGAAGGAAAAGGCUCCCCGAUACAAAGACAGAGGGAGGGGGCCUCCAAAGCCAAAAGAGGAAAUCCCAAGUGCAGUGGAUACCAGCCAGGUAUAUGUAGAGGCUGGAGGAGGUGGUGUCUGAUUUGCAUAGGGCUCAGGGGAUUGGUUUGACCAGGCCUGUAAUUCACGGGGCCUGAAAAAGCUGGCCCUCCCACCCUAGCAUUUAAUAUGCAAAUGCAGGGCGCCACGAUGUUCUACAAAUGGUGGGUAUAUGUGGG
rnacentral:lncRNA from 1 species